rnacentral:rRNA from 1 species
AACGAACGCUGGCGGCAUGCCUAACACAUGCAUGUCGAACGAGACCUUCGGGUCUAGUGGCGCACGGGUGCGUAACGCGUGGGAACCUGCCCUUAGGUUCGGAAUAACUCCCCGAAAGGGGUGCUAAUACCGGAUAAUGUCUUCGGACCAAAGAUUUAUCGCCUUUGGAUGGGCCCGCGUUGGAUUAGCUAGUUGGUAGGGUAAAAGCCUACCAAGGCGACGAUCCAUAGCUGGUCUGAGAGGAUGAUCAGCCACACUGGGACUGAGACACGGCCCAGACUCCUACGGGAGGCAGCAGUGGGGAAUAUUGGACAAUGGGCGAAAGCCUGAUCCAGCAAUGCCGCGUGAGUGAUGAAGGCCUUAGGGUUGUAAAGCUCUUUUACCCGGGAUGAUAAUGACAGUACCGGGAGAAUAAGCGCCGGCUAACUCCGUG